rnacentral:rRNA from 1 species
AAUAUUGGACAAUGUGCGAAAGCCUGAUCCAGCCAUGCCGCGUGUUUGAAGAAGGUCUUCGGAUUGUAAAGCACUUUAAGUUGGGAGGAAGGGCUUUAGGUUAAUACCCAGAAUUUUUGACGUUACCAAUUGAUUAAGUACCGGCUAACUCUGUGUCAGCAUCCGCGGUAAUACAGAGGGUGCAAGCGUUAAUCGGAAUUACUGGGCGUAAAGCGCGCGUAGGUGGUUCAGUAAGAUGGGUGUGAAAUCCCCGGGCUUAACCUGGGAACUGCUUUCAUAACUGCUGGGCUAGAGUACGGUAGAGGGUAGUGGAAUUUCCUGUGUAGCGGUGAAAUGCGUAGAUAUAGGAAGGAACACCAGUGGCGAAGGCGACUACCUGGACUGAUACUGACACUGAGGUGCGAAAGCGUGGGGAGCAAAC